rnacentral:lncRNA from 1 species
CCUUCCAUCUAGCACCAAAAUGCACUUAUGCCAAUUAAUUAUCCCUUUAUACUUAUUCACUUAUUUCCAAUUAGUUUCUAAUAAAUAUUCUUCUAUUAAUUAAAGUCGGGAUGUUACAAUCUACCCCCCUUAAAGGAAUUUCGUCCUCGAAAUUCGGAUUUUUCUUCACGCAACACCAGGGUAACCGUCUACGUUUCCGUCCGAUUUAUGACAUUGAUUCCUCCUUAUGUACAAUAUCACGACUCUUUGGUGCGUGGUUAUCCCAUAACAGUCGUUCCCGUUAUCUUUUCGUAGUUCACAUGCUUAUGAAAUGUUAGUCCUUCCGUCUACACCCUUGACGUCGAUACUGGAGUACACUUACUCCUACUAGUUCAUCAUGUUGAACUUCUCAGUUGAACCGUGUUUUCCGAACAUUGUCUCUUCUCUCAAGAGUACUUCUCUACUAACAAUCCAAGGUUUGAGUGUGACAGUGUGCAUACUUACUCAUCACACGUGCAUUACUCGUUUCACAGUCAAUUACAUCCCGUUGCUUGGAAUGAAAUUUUCCUCUCUUGACAAGUUACCAAGAUACAAGUCAACUACUAACUACAUCCUUACUUGUUGCGCACUCUGAUUCCAUCAACUUACUUUCAUUCAGUGAGAUGGUCGGUGAGUUAGACUUCAACUAGUUUCUCACUCUAGCAAUCUUCGUUACGAUUAAUUUCUUUUUAUUGCUUCCGGCAACAACUUCGUUACUCAACUAACUUCCUUAGGUCAGUAUUUGGCCUAGUUGGGUACACACCGAAACAUGGGGCACCGGUUGACGUUACAAGGUUAUCUAAAGGAUAUAAGCUUGAAUGUUAAUACUGACAAAUCCAAGAGUUUUCAUUCCCAUGGUUAUUCUCAUUUUCGAACACUACAAGCGCUCAACGUGUCAUAUGUACCACUACACCACAUGUGUCGUCUAAAUACUCUAGGAUCGAUUGAAAUAUAAAACGAGUGGAGAAAUACCUAAUUACUACAGAUCCUUCUGCCAAUAAGUUUAACUCAUCUGCAAACGGACCCGUAGUUCUGUGGGUAAAUUUCCACCUACCAUUUCAAUCCAUUCUAGUACAACACAGUGAACGAGUUGUACAUCUAACAUGCAAAUGAACUUGGGUUCGAAUUUUCUCUUAAGGGUAAGGGUUAGAUCUUGUUAGAAUUUAACUGAUAGACUAAUGUGAUGGAGAUUCAACUAAACAAUCGGGUACUAAUGUGUGGAUAGCUGAACAUAUUAGGUUUGAACUUCUAAUGCUGAGACUGAAUUGAGCUGUUUGACUUCGGACGAAUAGUG